CUACGUAGGUGGCGAGCGUUGUCCGGAAUUACUGGGCGUAAAGGGUGCGUAGGCGGAUAAUCAAGUCAGAUGUGAAAGUCCAUGGCUCAACUGUGGGAGUGCAUUUGAGACUGAAGAUCUAGAGUGCAGGAGAUGGAAGCGGAAUUCCUAGUGUAGCGGUGAAAUGCGUAGAUAUUAGGAAGAACACCAGUGGCGAAGGCGGCUUUCUGGACUGUAACUGACGCUGAAGCACGAAAGCGUGGGGAGCAAACAGGAUUAGAUACCCUGGUAGUCCACGCUGUAAACGAUGAGUAUUAGGUGUAGGGGACGAUAGUCUUCUGUGCCGGAGCAAACGCAAUAAAUACUCCGCCUGGGGAGUACGGUCACAAGACUAAA
rnacentral:rRNA from 1 species